rnacentral:rRNA from 1 species
GACGUAGGGCGCGAGCGUUGUCCGGAUUUAUUGGGCGUAAAGAGCUCGUAGGCGGCUUGUCGCGUCGAAUGUGAAAUCUCGGGGCUCAACUCCGAGCUUGCAUUCGAUACGGGCAGGCUAGAGUUCGGUAGGGGAGACUGGAAUUCCUGGUGUAGCGGUGAAAUGCGUAGAUAUCGGGAGGAACACCAGUGGCGAAGGCGAUUACCUGGGGUGAAUCUGACGCUGAGGAACGAAAGCUAGGGGAGCAAACGGG